rnacentral:tRNA from 1 species
GGGGAUGUGGCUCAGUGGUUGAGCACUUGCCUACUAUGCACAAUGCUCUAGGUUUAAUUCCUAGCACUACA